GACGAACGCUGGCGGCGUGCUUAACACAUGCCAGUCGAACGGAAAGGCCCUGCUUUUGUGGGGUGCUCGAGUGGCGAACGGGUGAAUAACACGUGAGUAACCUGCCCUUGACUUUGGGAUAACUUCAGGAAACUGGGGCUAAUACCGGAUAGGAGCUCCUGCUGCAUGGUGGGGGUUGGAAAGUUUCGGCGGUUGGGGAUCGACUCGCGGCUUAUCAGCUUGUUGGUGGGGUAGUGGCUUACCAAGGCUUUGACGGGUAGCCGGCCUGAGAGGGUGACCGGCCACAUUGGGACUGAGAUACGGCCCAGACGCCUACGGGAGGCAGCAGUGGGGAAUAUUGCACAAUGGGCGGAAGCCUGAUGCAGCAACGCCGCGUGCGGGAUGACGGCCUUCGGGUUGUAAACCGCUUUCGCCUGUGACGAAGCGUGAGUGACGGUAAUGGGUAAAGAAGCACCGGCUAACUACGUG
rnacentral:rRNA from 1 species